CCUACGGGAGGCAGCAGUGAGGAAUAUUGGUCAAUGGACGAGAGUCUGAACCAGCCAAGUCGCGUGAAGGAUGACUGCCCUAUGGGUUGUAAACUUCUUUUAUAUGGGAAUAAAAUGUUCCACGUGUGGGAUUUUGUAUGUACCAUAUGAAUAAGGAUCGGCUAACUCCGUGCCAGCAGCCGCGGUAAUACGGAGGAGCCGAGCGUUAUCCGGAUUUAUUGGGUUUAAAGGGAGCGUAGGUGGAUUGUUAAGUCAGUUGUGAAAGUUUGCGGCUCAACCGUAAAAUUGCAGUUGAAACUGGCAGUCUUGAGUACAGUAGAGGUGGGCGGAAUGCGUGGUGUAGCGGUGAAAUGCUUAGAUAUCACGAAGAACUCCGAUUGCGAAGGCAGUUCACUGGACUGCAACUGACACUGAGGCUCGAAAGUGUGGGUAUCAAACAGGAUUAGAUACCCGAGUAGUC
rnacentral:rRNA from 1 species